GAUGAACGCUGGCGGCGUGCCUAAUACAUGCAAGUCGAGCGAACAGACGAGGAGCUUGCUCCUCUGACGUUAGCGGCGGACGGGUGAGUAACACGUGGAUAACCUACCUAUAAGACUGGGAUAACUUCGGGAAACCGGAGCUAAUACCGGAUAAUAUAUUGAACCGCAUGGUUCAAUAGUGAAAGACGGUUUUGCUGUCACUUAUCGAUGGAUCCGCGCCGCAUUAGCUAGUUGGUAAGGUAACGGCUUACCAAGGCAACGAUGCGUAGCCGACCUGAGAGGGUGAUCGGCCACACUGGAACUGAGACACGGUCCAGACUCCUACGGGAGGCAGCAGUAGGGAAUCUUCCGCAAAGGGCGAAAGCCUGACGGAGCAACGCCGCGUGAGUGAUGAAGGUCUUCGGAUCGUAAAACUCUGUUAUUAGGGAAGAACAAAUGUGUAAGUAACUAUGCACGUCUUGACGGUACCUAAUCAGAAAGCCACGGCUAACUACGUG
rnacentral:rRNA from 1 species